UAGGCCCCACCUGGGCAGACUAGGCAGAUUGAAGUCACCUGUGCCAGGUGCCAGGUCACCAAACUGAGCUUAAAUUCCCAGGGGCCUGAGGGAGUGGAGGGCCCCCACUCCUGGGUGUCAAAUCAAGUGUGGCCUAAAGCUGCCUCCUUACAUAUUUUAAGUUCGGCCUAGAGGUUUCUCUGUACGUGGUGAGCUAUAACCUAAGCGGAGUUGUACACAGACUGUAGCCUAUACUUGCGCCAAUCACCGAGAUUUGGCCACUCAGACGUAGCCGGUUGUUUGAACCCUGUUAAAACUACCUCCACUUAAUGAAUGGUGAAUGUACUUUCUCUUCCUUAUGGUUUCCUGAAUAUCAUUUUCUUUUCUCCACCUUCCUUCUUUGGGAGAAUACAGUAGAUAAUGCAUAGAACAUAGAAAAUAUGUCUUCAUCAGCUUUUUAUGUUGUCAGUAAGACUUUGGUCAACAGUAGGCUAUUCAUAGUUACAUUUUGGGGAAACAAAAAGUUAUAUGUGGAUUUUCAACUGUGUGAAGGCUCA
rnacentral:lncRNA from 10 species